rnacentral:rRNA from 1 species
GAUGAACGCUGGCGGCGUGCCUAAUACAUGCAAGUCGAACGAAACUUCUUUAUCACCGAGUGCUUGCACUCACCGAUAAAGAGUUGAGUGGCGAACGGGUGAGUAACACGUGGGCAACCUGCCCAAAAGAGGGGGAUAACACUUGGAAACAGGUGCUAAUACCGCAUAACCAUAGUUACCGCAUGGUAACUAUGUAAAAGGUGGCUAUACUACCGCUUUUGGAUGGGCCCGCGGCGCAUUAGCUAGUUGGUAGGGUAAAGGCUUACCAACGCAAUGAUGCGUAGCCGAAUUGAGAGGUUGAUCGGCCACAUUGGGACUGAGACACGGCCCAAACUCCUACGGGAGGCAGCAGUAGGGAAUCUUCCACAAUGGGCGAAAGCCUGAUGGAGCAACGCCGCGUGGGUGAAGAAGGUCUUCGGAUCGUAAAACCCUGUUGUUAGGGAAGAAAGUGCGUGAGAGUAACUGUUCACGUUUCGACGGUAUCUAACCAGAAAGCCACGGCUAACUACGUG